rnacentral:tRNA from 1 species
GGGAUUGUGGCUCAAUGGUAGAGCACUCGGCUAGCAUGUGUGAAGCCCUGGGCUCAAUUCUCAGCACCA